AAUCAACGCUGGCGGCGCGCUUAACACAUGCAAGUCGAACGAGAAAGUGGAGCAAUCCAUGAGUACAGUGGCGUACGGGUGAGUAACACGUGGGUAAUCUGCCUUUUAGUGAGGAAUAACGAUGGGAAACCGUCGCUAAUACCGCAUAAGCCCCCAGACCGAAAGGAAUGGCGGGGAAAGUCGCAAGACGCUGAAAGAGGAGCCCGCGGCCGAUUAGCUAGUUGGUAGGGUAAGAGCCUACCAAGGCAGAGAUCGGUAGCCGGCCUGAGA
rnacentral:rRNA from 1 species